rnacentral:misc_RNA from 1 species
ACGAAUCUAAAGUCGAUGCGUUGUGCUGGUGGAGACACAUGUGCACGCGUGUCGCAAACAUCCACACACCUGUGAACCCGAAACUCUGAUAGGAUCGAGCGCCAGGACUUUUUAUGUCCACGUGCAUGGGGGCCUCAGCGUCCUCCAUCCUCCAGGGUAUUUUUUUACACACACCGAAUGUGAUAGAAUGUAUCUGUGCUUUAUGCGCAACUAUA